UAAGGAACCGGCGAUGGAACCCGCCUGAACUCGUUUCGAACCGCACACUGCUGAUAGUUCCUACACACGA
ncrna:unclassified sequences Fluoride riboswitch